GUAUAAAGAACAAUGCAUAGUGUGAAAAUGCGGAUUAUAAAAAAGUAUAUUAAAGAAAAGGACUACAUUUCCCAGAAUGCACCUGCACCCACUCAUCUGACUGCCCCCACCCUUCAGGUGCGACUGCUCAACCUAUGGGCUUGACGGAAAAUUCAAAUCGCGAACCGUUACUGCCUGGACUACUCCGUCUCUUGUUUGUUUGUUUGCUCAUUAACAGUAAGAGGUCAUGUACACUGUGGUCAACUUUGUGGACGAUGUAAAGGUUUCUGGGUAAAGAUGAUAGAAAUAUAAGGAAGUAACAGUGAAAGCUAAAACAUCAGACUGAUCCAGACACUGAAGAAAUUGAUGUCACUGCAAUCUGGCCAAAAUGAUACAACUAUAUUGAAGUAGCCUACUGUAAUGAAGCUGCAGAACAACACAGAGACUCUGAGGACAUCAACACAGAAAAUUAAGGCUCCAAAGAGAUGUCUGUCCAGAUGAGGGUGCAUCAAUGUUACGUUUGCUGACAAGUAUAUGCUUUACAAUGUAAAACCUAACAGUUAACUUAACUCAAACCAUUUAAGGAAAUCGGUUGCCUUAACCCAUUAAGUUUUAAAAAACAUACAUUUGAGUACUGUGAACUUAAGUCUUGUGCAAUUAUGCACUUAUAUUUAGUUAGUGUGAACUUAAAUAUAAGUGCAUAACUGCAUGUGACUCAAUUUGUUUAAGUUCACAGUACUCAAAUCCAUGUGUUUUAAAACUUAAAUGGUUUAAUGCAACCGGUUUUCUUAAAUGGUUUGAGUUUAGUUAACUUUUAGGUUUUACAGUGAGAAAUUCUUGAAUAAUUCCAAGACAGAGCUCUGCAAUUGAAUCAACACUGCAAAAAAUCAGUUUCUAACUUAGGAUUUUUAUCUUGUUUUUAGUAGAAAAACUAAAAAUUCUUAAAUCAAGAUGUAUUUUCUUGAUGAGCAAAAUUACCUAAGAAAAUGUCUAGUUUUUAGACAAAAAUAUACAAUUUAAGUAAAUUUGUGCCUGAACAAGCAAAAAUAUAUAACAAUGGGGUGAGAAAAUUGUGCUUGAAUUA